AUUGAACGCUGGCGGCGUGCUUAACACAUGCAAGUCGAUCGGUAACAGGUGUAGCAAUACAUGCUGACGAGAGGCGGACGGGUGAGUAAUGCUUGGGAAUCUGCCUAUUAGUGGGGGACGAACCCGGGGAAACGUACGGGCUAAUACCGCAUACGCUCUACGGAGGAAAGCCGGGGACCGCAAGGCCUGGCGCUAAUAGAUGAGCCCAAGUCGGAUUAGCUAGUUGGUAGGGUAACGGCCUACCAAGGCGACAAUCCGUAGCUGGUCUGAGAGGACGACCAGCCACACCGGAACUGAGACACGGUCCGGACUCCUACGGGAGGCAGCAGUGGGGAAUAUUGGACAAUGGGGGCAACCCUGAUCCAGCGACGCCGCGUGGGUGAAGAAGGCCUGCGGGUUGUAAAGCCCUUUCGGGUGGGGAAGAAAAGUCUCGACCUAAUACGUCGGGACCUUGACGUAACCCACUAAAGAAGCACCGGCUAACUCUGUGCCAGCCG
rnacentral:rRNA from 1 species